GAUGAACGCUGGCGGCGUGCCUAAUACAUGCAAGUCGAGCGAACAGACGAGGAGCUUGCUCCUCUGACGUUAGCGGCGGACGGGUGAGUAACAUGUGGAUAACCUACCUAUAAGACUGGGAUAACUUCGGGAAACCGGAGCUAAUACCGGAUAAUAUAUUGAACCGCAUGGUUCAAUAGUGAAAGACGGUUUUGCUGUCACUUAUAGAUGGAUCCGCGCCGCAUUAGCUAGUUGGUAAGGUAACGGCUUACCAAGGCAACGAUGCGUAGCUGACCUGAGAGGGUGAUCGGCCACACUGGAACUGAGACACGGUCCAGACUCCUACGGGAGGCAGCAGUAGGGAAUCUUCCGCAAUGGGCGAAAGCCUGACGGAGCAACGCCGCGUGAGUGAUGAAGGUCUUCGGAGCGUAAAACUCUGUUAUUAGGGAAGAACAAAUGUGUAAGUAACUAUGCACGUCUUGACGGUACCUAAUCAGAAAGCCACGGCUAACUACGUG
rnacentral:rRNA from 1 species